UUGAAGGAGUUGACAGUUCCAAGGUGACU
rnacentral:piRNA from 2 species